ACUUGCCCUGAAGCCACUCCUGCAUUGUCUUGGCUUUGUGCACUCCUGCGUUGUCUUGGCUUUGAGACUUGUGCAUGAAGCUGCUCCCCAAUUCACCACAAGGGCAGUGAGCUGUAAGCGAGAGUAUGCAAGCAACUGGUAAGCAAGCAUGCAACUUACCUCUACCAUGGCACUACUGCACUAGACUCGUCACAUGCACCCUGCGGUUGCCCGCCGAUAUACACACACACACAGACACACACACACACAGACAGCGGGAUGAAUGAGUGACCUGUUCCCAGGCUGGUCAGAAUUGUCAAUCUAUUCAGUCUGUAUUUAUUCAGCUUCAUCCAUUCUCUACCACUGUAAAUAUUAACUUCCACUGUAAUGUUGGCCAUGUUCCAGACCUGGGGAGUGUACUUUCCAUAACUGAAGAUUCCAUGGCUUUGAUCAUAAACAAUUAACAAAAACAACCAUAGGAUUAUUAAAUGCGCCCUGGCUCAGACACAAUCUGAUUAGAAUGUCAAAUGAGACACACACACACACACCAGCCAGGCAGUGGAGAAUGGUUUGCAGUCAGGAGUCAUGAGGAAGGACAAUUGGGUUCCAAGUUGUUGUGACUGGAUUGAAUACUAUCUAGUGCUCUUCAAAUGAACAGAUUGCCUUUAGUCUGGAAUGAAGACACCCCCCCACACUUUCUCUUACUUAUUCAAUUUUUUCACUCAGUCUCCCUCCCUCUCUCUGUAUGUCUGUCCCUUUCUCUAUGUCUCUGUAUAUGUGUAUAUUAAUAUCAGCCAUUGCAUGUGCAUGUGGCUCUGACAUACUCUACAACUCCUCUUGUAUUGAAGACUCCCAAAUAAGGUUUACACUCCUCCGUUACACAGUGUCUCUCUCACUGAAGUGGAAGAGGUGUCGGCUGCUUGCCUGAGGCUGUUUCGGCAGGCAAAAUAUACACACCCAUUGUCAGUCUCCAGUGAUCACCAGUCAGGUUAGAACAUGCAGGUGGCUUUACUUCCUUGUCAGUGUUAACAGACAUGUUAUCAUGUUACAGCAAGACAGAGGAAGGUGUGUGUAUGUGAGGUCACAGGAUUACGCUUAAGCUCAUAGCACCUCGAGCAGUGUGUGUGUUGUGUGUCCGUCCCGAGGGAAGCAGAGAAAACAGAGGAAGACCGAGAAAGAAACAACCCAGGAAAAGAGAGCUAGAAACUCAGAGGGACGUUCUGCCUCUUCUGAGCCAGAUGGGGCUGACGAUGCUUUAAACCCCUGCUCUGUUUUUCUGUCAGUCUGUCUGCAGUCUCUGCUGCUGCUCUGCAGCCAUUCAGCUGAUUUGGUGGGAAAUGAACCGUAUAGGUCUCGCUUUUAUUCCCUCCCUCUGGUGGUGUGUGGUUGUAUGUGUGGUCUGUGGUAAAUCUGAAGCUCGAGCCAGUGUAUCGGUUGAGUGGUCAAAUAGCACAGAUCCUUGUCGAUCUGCAGCAUGGGCAUUUCCUCUCUAGUUCAUUCUCUCUCUGUGUCUCUCUGUGUGUGGAUUUAGACUGUCAGCUGAAUGCUAUUAAAAUGUGACUGCUCAAAGCAUAAACACAACUGAACAGAAGGGGGACGUGUGUGUGUGUGUGUGUGGGUCAACCAGUUUGUGAAAGAGAAUAAAGCCUGCUGUCCUGGCUACACACAAACAGGUCGUCCACCAGACAGCGGGACUGAUGUUUAAAGAAGCUAGGUCAGUCUCUCCCAUUCUAGUCUCCUCCUUCCCCCUGUGACCUGAUCCAUCUACCCUUUCAGGAUUUGUCAGUGUUUGCACCAAAACACAGAAGCAUACAGAAAUAAGGGAAGUCAUGUUUAUCUAUGUAGAUAUGUGGUGGGCUGAAUGUUUUGAUUGGUUUCCCAGGAUCAGAGUGGUUUGGUCGCCCUCCACAUUGGUUCUAAAUCUCAGAGAGGCUUUACAGGCUGCUUUGAGAAGAGCUGCUCUUCCCUCAACGGUGGGGAACACGUACGCAAGCUGGAGUGGUGGCGGGGGUUGGUGAGAACAGAGGGGUUUCAGCUGAAUUACACUUCUCCAUUGAGUCCCAUUCCAGAGAGCUGGCGCUGGCCAGAUGGGUUAAAUGACUCUGCCAACUCACUAAAGCAGUCUCAUUCUGCUGUGACACACAUUUUCUCUCAUUAUUUUAGACUCAAUCUGCCAGUGUGAGGUGUGGUAUAGGAAUGGGGUGUACCAUCUUAAAGCUGCGCUGUGUAAUUAUGUGUACAGGUGUUUUUGGAGACCUAGAUUUGAACACAAUUUCCAAGAAACCUCCUCUCUCUCUCAUAGGUAGUCUGCAGGGAAUCAUAUGGUACAUCAGCAUCCUCUCUGAACGCAGUUUAGGCUGCUGAAAAUUCGACACUGCAAGUGGAUGCGAUAACCACUACGGUCAAGAUUGAAAAGAUGAAUCGAUUCUAUUUGAUGUCUUCAGAACAGGAUUCCAGUGUUGAAGAGCCUUAGUUCCCAUCUGCUGUGGGUAGAGGAGCUAGAGGAAGGGGGAGAAGAGCAAGGUGUAGAGCUGCAGAAAGAAUCAGGAAGACCGUGAGGGCUGACUGACAGGAGAGGGUGACCCAGAUAAAGGCUAGGUUGAGAAAGCUGUCCUUUGAGGAAAGGUGCUGGAGCAGUUCGCUACCUGUUCACUUGGCAUGAUGUUUGACAUAAUGGAUUUGCAGAUGGCUAUCCCAGGAUCUCCAGACAUCCCAGACUGAGGACAACCUCGCUGGUGCACCUACCUGAAAUUGACGGGAGAUGCCCGUUGACCUGGGACCGGUUGCACCAGUUGGUCAUAAGUGGUUCAUAACUCUACGUCCAACGUAAAAUUCAUACUAAACUGGACUUAAAAAUUAUACGUGUUGCCCCACUUGGGUGUAAGCCCUUCUAAACUCGGCAAAAAAAGAAACGUCCCUUUUUCAGGAUGCAGUCUUUCAAAGAUCAUUUGUGAAAAUUCAAAUAACU